UGUGAAAGAGGUAGAAUUGCAAAGAGUCAUUUUUGAAAUGAAUGAAAAAUCAGGAAAUUUGUUUAAGUUAUGUUAAGUUUGAGUUUUAGUUCAAUUUCAAGCAAUCAUAACUUAUAGCUCAGGAUGAGUUAGGUGUGCUAAAAGAUUCCUUAAGAAAUAUCUUUGAAUUAUCUUUUCAACAGUGCUGAGUUUGUGCGAUUUCGAAUUAGCAUGAGGGAUAUAUGCCCAUUUGAAGUUGGGCUAUCUUGAUAAAGAAAGUUAAAAUUAGACUUUUAAGGGGCAUUUUGGUCUUUCCCACAGCCAAUUGUUUAAUUUAUUUUUUAGUGAUUUAAUUAGGGUCAAAACUGAAUUGGUUCAGUUUGCACAAUUGAAAAUUCACGCUUGGGCUUUAGAGAGAAGAACUAAAGAGAGAAUAGAAGAGGAAAACUCAAGAUUUCUUCGUCUUCGUGAGGAAUCGUUUGCGGAUUUCGUCAAGGAUUCUUUCUUACAAGAUACAAGUAAUCAGGAUCAUCAUCCAGCGCUACAUUGAUCCAGUGGAGCAUCUCAGAGUUUGUUGAAACAGGUAACUAGGAUCGGCUUUUGGGGCGCCGUUUAUCCAGUGAGCGUCUCAAAGUCUGUUGGUGAGCCUCCCCUCAUUCCGGAGGACUCUUUUAUUGAUUUCCAUGUUUUUACUUAUAGAAUUUUGUAGGGUUUAUCCCAACAUCCAUAUAUGAUAUUUAGGCACCUAUAAACAAUGAUUGUAUUUGGUGUUUGGUGAGAACUUCAAUUCUCAUUUAUAUUUACCAAGUGUAAGAAUAAAUGUUUCUUUAAUUUGUCGGGACCGUGCUUGCACAUGCAUAUUCUAUCUAGUAUAUCUACAAAUGAUCUUAGUUAUGGUGUUGUGUCUACCUAAACUGAACUUGUGCAUAUUAGUUUCAUAUGUUUCAUGUGUUAUUUUUAUUCUUUUAAUUUCUGCUCCUCCCACGCAUUACUAAAUGACUUUGAAAAAGAUUCACCAUUAAAAAUAUAUGAUGCUGUGACCGUGCUCACCAUACUCUAUGUCCAUCUUUUAUAUAUAUAGACCAUUAAUGUUUUGAACAAACGGUACAUGCCUAAAUGGUAAAAGUCAAAUUAAACGUGUUCACCGUUCCAUACCAACAAUAUCAACAUAACCACAUUUUAAAUCAUUACAACUACCUGACCCUCACACGACAAUCAUGCAUUGUCCACAUUGUAUCACAAAAAUCAUAAAGAGAGUUCAAGGUUGGAAUGUAAGGAUUCAUG